rnacentral:rRNA from 1 species
GAUGAACGCUGGCGGCAGGCCUAACACAUGCAAGUCGAGCGGUAGCACAGAGAGCUUGCUCUCGGGUGUCGAGCGGCGGACGGGUGAGUAAUGUCUGGGAAACUGCCCGAUGGAGGGGGAUAACUACUGGAAACGGUAGCUAAUACCGCAUAACGUCGCAAGACCAAAGAGGGGGACCUUCGGGCCUCUUGCCAUCGGAUGUGCCCAGAUGGGAUUAGCUAGUAGGUGGGGUAACGGCUCACCUAGGCGACGAUCCCUAGCUGGUCUGAGAGGAUGACCAGCCACACUGGAACUGAGACACGGUCCAGACUCCUACGGGAGGCAGCAGUGGGGAAUAUUGCACAAUGGGCGCAAGCCUGAUGCAGCCAUGCCGCGUGUAUGAAGAAGGCCUUCGGGUUGUAAAGUACUUUCAGCGGGGAGGAAGGCGAUAAGGUUAAUAACCUUGUCGAUUGACGUUACCCGCAGAAGAAGCACCGGCUAACUCCGUGCCAGCCGCCGCAGUAA